CCUACGGGCGGCAGCAGUGAGGAAUAUUGGUCAAUGGGCGGGAGCCUGAACCAGCCAAGUCGCGUGAGGGAAGACGGUCCUAUGGAUUGUAAACCUCUUUAGGCGGGGAGCAAUGCCGGGCACGCGUGCCCGGAGGGAGAGUACCCGCAGAAUAAGCAUCGGCUAACUCCGUGCCAGCAGCCGCGGUAAUACGGAGGAUGCGAGCGUUAUCCGGAUUGAUUGGGUUUAAAGGGUGCGUAGGCGGAUUUUUAAGUCAGCGGUAAGCUGUCCGGGCUCAACCCGGGCCGGCCGUUGAAACUGGGGCUCUUGCGUGGGCGAGAAGUAUGCGGAAUGCGUGGUGUAGCGGUGAAAUGCAUAGAUAUCACGCAGAACUCCGAUUGCGACGGCAGCAUACCGGCGCCCGACUGACGCUGAGGCACGACAGCGUGUGGAUCGAACAGGAUUAGAUACCCCAGUAGUC
rnacentral:rRNA from 1 species